AGUAANGUCAGCUAAAUUAAGCUAUCGGGCCCAUACCCCNGAAAAUGUUGGUUUAUACCCUUCCCGUACUA
rnacentral:tRNA from 1 species